rnacentral:rRNA from 1 species
GCUGGCGGCAUGCCUAACACAUGCAAGUCGAACGGAAACAGGACGCUGUGAUCUCUUCGGAGUGAACUUGUCGCUGUCGAGUGGCGGACGGGUGAGUAAUGCAUAGGAAUUUGCCUCGAAGUGGGGGAUAGCCCGGAGAAAUCCGGAUUAAUACCGCAUGUGCUCUACGGAGCAAAGUGGACCUCUGAUUUAAGUUCACGCUUUGAGAUAAGCCUAUGUCGGAUUAGCUUGUUGGUAGGGUAAAAGCCUACCAAGGCGACGAUCCGUAGCUGGUUUGAGAGGAUGAUCAGCCACACUGGGACUGAGACACGCCCCAGACUCCUACGGGAGGCAGCAGUGGGGAAUAUUGGACAAUGGGCGCAAGCCUGAUCCAGCAAUGCCGCGUGUGUGAAGAAGGCCUGCGGGUUGUAAAGCACUUUUAUCGGGAAAGAAAAACACAGGGUUAAUACCCCUGUGCCUUGACGGUACCCGAAGAAUAAGCACCGGCUAACUCAGUGCCAGCAGCCGCGGUAAUACUGAGGGUGCAAGCGUUAAUCGGAAUUACUGGGCGUAAAGCGAGUGUAGGCGGCUUCGUAAGUCGGAUGUGAAAGCCCCGGGCUUAACCUGGGAAUUGCAUUCGAUACUGCGCAGCUAGAGUUUGAUAGAGGAAAGUGGAAU